rnacentral:rRNA from 1 species
UGCUCUCUGUUUCUUUUUAUAGAGAGUUGAGCCUGCCCAGUGAAAUUUUUAACGGCCGCGGUACUCUGACCGUGCAAAGGUAGCAUAAUCAUUUGCCUUAUAAUUGAAGGCUAGUAUGAAUGGUUUGACGAAAGCAGAUCUGUCUCCCUUUUACUUCCUAGAAUUUGACUUUUAGGUGAAGAGGCCUAAAUAAUAUUGAAGGACAAGAAGACCCUGUCGAGCUUAAAAGAAUAAAUAGAAGUUAAUAUACUUAUAAAUAAAUAAUCUACUAAGCUUUUUAGUUGGGGCGACUAAGGAACAAAUAGAGCUUCUUCGAUAAAAGAAACCAACAAGUUUAGAUCCAGCGGAAGUCUGAUCAAAGAAAUUAGUUACCGCAGGGAUAACAGCAUAAUCUUCCUUGAGAGACCUAAUCGAAAGGAGGGGUUGUGACCUCGAUGUUGGACUAGAAUAUCCUAAAGAUGCAGAAGUCUUUGAAGGUUGGUCUGUUCGACCAUUAAAAUUCU